GACGAACGCUGGCGGCGUGCUUAACACAUGCAAGUCGAACGGAAAGGCCCUGCUGUUGUGGGGUGCUCGAGUGGCGAACGGGUGAGUAACACGUGAGUAACCUGCCCUUGACUUUGGGAUAACUUCAGGAAACUGGGGCUAAUACCGGAUAGGAGCUCCUGCUGCAUGGUGGGGGUUGGAAAGUUUCGGCGGUUGGGGAUGGACUCGCGGCUUAUCAGCUUGUUGGUGGGGUAGUGGCUUACCAAGGCUUUGACGGGUAGCCGGCCUGAGCGGGUGACCGGCCACAUUGGGACUGAGAUACGGCCCAGACUCCUACGGGAGGCAGCAGUGGGGAAUAUUGCACAAUGGGCGGGAGCCUGAUGCAGCAACGCCGCGUGCGGGAUGACGGCCUUCGGGUUGUGAACCGCUUUCGCCUGUGACGAAGCGUGAGUGACGGUAAUGGGUAAAGAAGCACCGGCUAACUACGUG
rnacentral:rRNA from 1 species